rnacentral:rRNA from 1 species
UACGAAGGGAGCUAGCGUUGUUCGGAAUCACUGGGCGUAAAGCGCACGUAGGCGGAUGUGUCAGUCAGGGGUGAAAUCCCGGAGCUCAACUUCGGAACUGCCUUUGAUACUGGCGAUCUUGAGUCCGGGAGAGGUGAGUGGAACUGCGAGUGUAGAGGUGAAAUUCGUAGAUAUUCGCAAGAACACCAGUGGCGAAGGCGGCUCACUGGCCCGAUACUGACGCUGAGGUGCGAAAGCGUGGGGAGCAAACAGG